CCUACGGGAGGCAGCAGUGGGGAAUUUUGGACAAUGGGCGAAAGCCUGAUCCAGCAAUGCCGCGUGCAGGAAGAAGGCCUUCGGGUUGUAAACUGCUUUUGUACGGAACGAAAAGGUCUGCCCUAAUACGGCGGGCCCAUGACGGUACCGUAAGAAUAAGCACCGGCUAACUACGUGCCAGCAGCCGCGGUAAU
rnacentral:rRNA from 1 species